ACUCCUACGGGAGGGCAGCAGUAGGGAAUCUUCCACAAUGGGCGCAAGCCUGAUGGAGCAACACCGCGUGAGUGAAGAAGGGUUUCGGCUCGUAAAAGCUCUGUUGUUAAAGAAGAACACGUAUGAGAGUAACUGUUCAUACGUUGACGGUAUUUAACCAGAAAGUCACGGCUAACUACGUGCCAGCAGCCGCGGUAAUACGUAGGUGGCAAGCGUUAUCCGGAUUUAUUGGGCGUAAAGAGAGUGCAGGCGGUUUUCUAAGUCUGAUGUGAAAGCCUUCGGCUUAACCGGAGAAGUGCAUCGGAAACUGGAUAACUUGAGUGCAGAAGAGGGUAGUGGAACUCCAUGUGUAGCGGUGGAAUGCGUAGAUAUAUGGAAGAACACCAGUGGCGAAGGCGGCUACCUGGUCUGCAACUGACGCUGAGACUCGAAAGCAUGGGGUAGCGAACAGGAUUAGAUACCCUGGUAGGAUAGCG
rnacentral:rRNA from 1 species